AAAUUAUAUACAGUUGCAUUCUUCAAAAUUUGAAAUACAAAUCAAACUAAUUGAUCAUAGAUAUUUAUUAUUGAACUAUGCUUCAAAUGAGUCAGGUCUGUUAUUAGUCAUAUAAAGAUCCAAUUCCUGUAACAAGUUUAAAGCUGGUUUGAAUAGACUCAGAUUGUUAUCUGUUGCGUUAUAAUUUAAUUAAAAGUUUUGUUUCGUUAUCAGUGAUGAAGUCAUGAUCUAGUAAAGCUUUGCUUCUGUCAAGGAAGCAAAAACUUAUCUAAAUCUUUUAUCAAUUUCAAAAAAGGGAAAAAGAAUCUAGAUUGAUGCAAAACAUCCAACAUGAGAUUAUCUUCCUGAUUAAUCACAUCGGCACAAUGGAUGCUUGCAUAUGGACUUCUGCUAUAGAAGUGUGGGAGGAGGAGUCUGGAGUUGGAGAAGUUGAAAAAUCUUCAUCCCAAGGGAGAGGUCAAAAGAUCCUCAUAUCAAGAGAGAAUUCAAAAGAUUUUCCUUCAAUAAGAGCUUUGCUCCAAGAGAAGUAAGAAGACUUUCCUUCAACCAAAGAACAAGACAGUUGUCCUCUAGUAUCACCAAUUACUUGGUGUUUGUACCUUUCUAAAGAACUAAAGAACUAUUACUCUUCGAACAAGAAGAUUUAAUAAUCUCUUGUCAAGUAUAAUGACAGGUAUUCAUUCUCUCUGCUUCUUAUAGCAUUGACACUAACAAGUAAGCCUAACAUUGCAAGAUCAAAGCUUGUAAAGAGUCUGGUCAUUAUACCAUAGU
rnacentral:lncRNA from 1 species